UAGUGUUACAGCUCUUUUAGAAUUUGUCUAGCAGGUUUUCUGUUUUUUAGCAGAAACCCUCC
ensembl:snRNA U7 U7 small nuclear RNA